AUGGCGGAUGAGAAUAGUUUUCUGCUGUGGCUAAAUGUACAAAGGCCUGGGCCUUGUGACUUUGUGAGAUCAGAUGCGAGGGGUGGGGAUCUUUCGGAGGAAAGUGUUUUCAAAUACAUAGUUCUGACUGCCUCUGAUCCUCCUCGCCGAGAUCAAACCGAAGUAGCGUGGCUUGGUCCUUUUACUCUUUUGGCACAGUUGGUUCUCUACGAAACGAUGUGGUGCACGACCAAGGAAAACUCUCCAAAAUCAAAUCGAAGUAGCAUGGCUUGGCCUAGACUUCUGGCAUGGUUGGUUCCUACAAAAUGA
rnacentral:rRNA from 1 species